AAACCAACUGGGAUUACCUUAGUAACGGCGAGUGAAGCGGUAAAAGCUCAAAUUUGAAAUCUGGUACUUUCAGUGCCCGAGUUGUAAUUUGUAGAAUUUGUCUUUGAUUAGGUCCUUGUCUAUGUUCCUUGGAACAGGACGUCAUAGAGGGUGAGAAUCCCGUUUGGCGAGGAUACCUUUUCUCUGUAAGACUUUUUCGAAGAGUCGAGUUGUUUGGGAAUGCAGCUCAAAGUGGGUGGUAAAUUCCAUCUAAAGCUAAAUAUUGGCGAGAGACCGAUAGCGAACAAGUACAGUGAUGGAAAGAUGAAAAGAACUUUGAAAAGAGAGUGAAAAAGUACGUGAAAUUGUUGAAAGGGAAGGGCAUUUGAUCAGACAUGGUGUUUUUGCAUGCACUCGCCUCUCGUGGGUUUGAGCCUCUCAAAAAUUUCACUGGGCCAACAUCAAUUCUGGCAGCAGGAUAAAUCAUUAAGAAUGUAGCUACUUCGGUAGUGUUAUAGCUUUUUGGAAUACUGUUAGCCGGGUA
rnacentral:rRNA from 1 species